UGUGUCUAAAGAGAGCAUGUCUUAUAUUAUGAGAAACAAAAAGAUAGUUACGUCUAAUGAUUUUGCAUGGCUAAUGACUCAAGGGAGAAUACAGAGCAAGAAAAACUUGCUGCGCAAGCGGAUUGUGGACGAAGAUGUAUGUGAAGAAUGCAAUCAGGAAAGUGAAUCGGCGGGCCACAUAGUCUUACAUUGCCCAUUUGCAAAACGGUUCUGGCAGGCAAUAGGCUUUCAAGUACCUGCUGAUUUGGAUGUCCACGAACUGCAUCUUAUUGUGAGGCCAACGAACAUACCGAAAACUGAAUUCUCUUCUUUUGUGGUUCUAUGUUGUUGGCAACUGUGGAAGCGUAGGAAUGCCUUGGUUUUCAGGCAGGAAGCAAUCCCCUUAAGCAGGAUCCUUCGACAAUGCAGUGAGGAGGCUAAGAACUGGAGUUACAGACAUGGUUCCAAAGAAGCAGGUGUGCAAGCCGCCUGGGUACUGGUGUUCUCAACUGCUAGCAUGUAAUAUGUAAUACCUUAGAAAAUUCUUCUCCCCCCUCACCCCGGCAAGCCGGGUCUAUAAACUUAUGUAAAGCCUUUAGGGGCGACAAGAACAUAUCAAUGAAAAAUCAGGUGGGGAGCCUUUCCCCCGUUGACAGUCAAAAAAAAAACAAAUGGAGUAUUAAAUAUACAUAAAACUAUC
rnacentral:misc_RNA from 1 species